GACGAACGCUGGCGGCGUGCUUAACACAUGCAAGUCGAACGGUAAGGCCCUUCGGGGUACACGAGUGGCGAACGGGUGAGUAACACGUGGGUGAUCUGCCCUGCACUUCGGGAUAAGCCUGGGAAACUGGGUCUAAUACCGGAUAGGACCACUGCCUGCAUGGGUGGUGGUGGAAAGCUUUUGCGGUGUGGGAUGGGCCCGCGGCCUAUCAGCUUGUUGGUGGGGUGCUGGCCUACCAGGGCGACGACGGGUAGCCGGCCGGGGAGGGUGACCGGUCACACUGGGACUGAGAUACGGCCCAGACUCCUACGGGAGGCAGCAGUGGGGAAUAUUGCACAAUGGGCGCAAGCCUGAUGCAGCGACGCCGCGUGAGGGAUGACGGCCUUCGGGUUGUAAACCUCUUUCAGCUAUGACGAAGCGCAAGUGACGGUAGUAGCAGAAGAAGGACCGGCCAACUACGUGCCAGCCGCCGCCGUAA
rnacentral:rRNA from 1 species